CAAGUCUUCAGCCAGUGCCUGGAACGUGGCUCAGUUUUUAUUCAUUUAGCAAUCAUUCGUGAAGCGCCUCUACGUCUUAGCGCAGAGGGUGCCCCUACCCUCAGGGAAUUCUUGAUCCAGGGCUCAGCCGGCAACAGAGGCAUGGCAUUCUCCAAGGAGACAUAGCCUCUGUGAUGGAUGCGCUUUACAUCAGUGGCAUCCUUGUGGUUUUCAGAACAUGGGACUGCAGAUCUGGUCAGCCAAGGACCUCCUGGGAAACCGGGGGAUGAUCGUGGCUGCCACACAGGAAAGUUGCCCAAGCUCACACAGGACUAUUCUAGUAAAACACCACGGCCGCUGCCACCCCCUGCUCGACGCCUAUGACACCAGGCUCUCAAAAUCCCAUUUCAGCUGUUGAGGAGUCAGUUGUUUCUGCAGUCAGACUUCUGGAAGAUACCAUGUGCUGUUGGGUGGCCAGAAAGUCUCAUUGUUCACUUCAAUUUCCAAGUCGGUGUGUCAGCCUGGCAGACGCUCGGUGGCUAUGAGCCUUAGGAGAAGAGAGGUGCCAUUUCAUCAGUGUGGUUGCCCCGCGGUGGGAGCAAUGGUGUACCACUGGCAGAAGAGGAGGCUGGCAGAUUAUAAAAGGGCAGAACCUUGCUCUGCAGCAGCGAUAGCUCAUCCAAAACCAUCCCUGGACUGUGGCGUGGUGGGUCCAUCUGAACUGGCAGAUCUCACUGGAGCGGGUGCCAGGCCUGGGACCGCGGUGUCUCCCAAGACCCAGUGGGCUUUUGCAGUCUGGGACCAUCGGAAAGCCAUGUCUUCUAAUAAAAACCUGUCUGCCCUUUUCUCAG
ensembl:lncRNA